ACACAGAGAGAGAGAGAGAGAGAGAGAGAGAGAGAGAGAGAGAGAGAAUAAAACGAGUCAAACGACUUGAUCUUUAACAUUUUGCAGCCAUACAGAGAGAGAGAUGAGCAGGGGAGGAGAAGGGAAGGUGGUGUGCGUGACAGGGGCGUCGGGUUUCAUAGCAUCGUGGCUGGUGAAGCUGUUGCUGGAUCGUGGUUACACCGUAAAUGGCACCGUUCGCAGCCUGGAUGAUCCAAAGAGGACAGAACACUUACUUUCACUUGAAGGAGCCAGGGAAAGACUGAAUCUAUUCGAAGCAAACUUAAUUGAAGACGGAUCUUUUGAUCUCGCCAUUGAUGGUUGUGUAGGAGUCUUCCAUACAGCUUCUCCAGUUUUUUUGUCUUCCAGCAACCCACAGGAAGAACUAAUUGACCCUGCAGUGAAGGGAACACUGAAUGUUCUUAGAUCAUGCGUGAAAGUUCCAUCCAUCAAAAGGGUGGUCAUAACAUCUUCUAUUGUCUCAGUUUUCAUCAAUAGGAUACCUCUGGACCCCAGUGUGAUAAUUGAUGAGACUUGGUAUUCCGAUCAAGAAUUUUGUAAGGAAUUCCAGCAUUGGUACCCACUUGCAAAAAUCUUGGCUGAGGAGGCUGGCUGGAAAUUUGCAAAGGAGAACGGAAUAGACUUGGUAACAUUGCAUCCAGGAUGGGUGAUUGGUCCUGUCUUGCAGCCAACUCUCAAUUACAGUACAGAAGUAAUUCUGAACGUCGUAAAAGAUGGAACUGAAGCCAUCCCAAAUAUAUAUCGAUGUGUUGAUGUUAGAGAUGUUGCUUAUGCACAUAUUUUAGCAUUUGAGAAUCCUUCAGCUAGUGGCCGGUACUGUUUAGUUGAGAAAGUAGCACACCGUUCUGAGGUUAUGAAGAUUAUACACAAACUUUAUCCUACUCUCAACCUUCCUAAAAGAAUUGAAGAUGAAAAGCCUGAUAGGGCACCUUACCAGGUGUCCAAGCAAAGAGCAGAGAGUUUAGGCUUGAAAUUCACUCCCCUUGAGGUUACUGUCAAGGACACUGUUGAAAGCUUCAAAGAGAAGAACUUGCUCAGUUUCUGAAUCCUAUAAUAUGUUCCACCAAGUGAUGCAUUUAUUUGUUUGACUAUGUAAUCUACUGAAAAUUAUUGUAUGAUUUUGGAGGCCAAUCCACGUAUGCAUUUAGGCAUUUAUGUUCAUUGUGAAUUGAACAAUCUCUUUUAACACUUCUAAGAUUGGAAGUGUUCUUUUUAAUUAGUCUGAAAAAAUAAAAGAUGAUGAUUGUAUUUA